AACGAACGCUGGCGGCAUGCCUAACACAUGCAAGUCGAACUAGACCUUCGGGUCUAGUUGCGCACGGGUGCGUAACGCGUGGGAACCUGCCCUUAGGUUCUGAAUAACUCCCCGAAAGGGGUGCUAAUACCGGAUAAUGUCUUCGGACCAAAGAUUUAUCGCCUUUGGAUGGGCCCGCGUUGGAUUAGCUAGUUGGUAGGGUAAAAGCCUACCAAGGCGACGAUCCAUAGCUGGUCUGAGAGGAUGAUCAGCCACACUGGGACUGAGACACGGCCCAGACUCCUACGGGAGGCAGCAGUGGGGAAUAGUGGACAAGGGGAGAAAGCCUGAGCCAGCAAUGCCGCGUGAGUGAUGAAGGCCUUAGGGUUGUAAAGCUCUUUUACCCGGGAUGAUAAUGACAGUACCGGGAGAAUAAGCUCCGGCUAACUCCGUG
rnacentral:rRNA from 1 species